AGAGUUUGAUCCUGGCUCAGAUUGAACGCUGGCGGCAUGCUUUACACAUGCAAGUCGAACGGCAGCGCGGGGGCAACCCUGGCGGCGAGUGGCGAACGGGUGAGUAAUGCAUCGGAACGUAUCCUGUAAUGGGGGAUAACGUAGCGAAAGUUACGCUAAUACCGCAUACGCUCGAGAGAGGAAAGUGGGGGAUCGCAAGACCUCACGUUAUAGGAGCGGCCGAUGUCCGAUUGGCUAGUUGGUGGGGUAAAGGCCUACCAAGGCGACGAUCGGUAGCUGGUCUGAGAGGAUGAUCAGCCACACUGGGACUGAGACACGGCCCAGACUCCUACGGGAGGCAGCAGUGGGGAAUUUUGGACAAUGGGCGAAAGCCUGAUCCAGCCACGCCGCGUGCGGGAAGAAGGCCUUCGGGUUGUAAACCGCUUUAGUCCGGGAAAAAGGGGUGCGAGGAUAAUACCCUCGUGCUUUGAUGGUACUGGAAGAAUAAGCACCGGCUAACUACGUG
rnacentral:rRNA from 1 species